UACUGUCUCAUUUAAUUUGAUAUUAAAAUUUACUUUUUCAGUCAAAAAGCUGAAAUAUUAUUGGAAGACGAGAAGACCCUAUAGAGCUUUAUAUUUAAUUAUCUAAUAAAUUUUUGAAAAUAUUAUUGUUUAUUAUUUAAUAAAAUAUUUUGUUGGGGUGACAAAAAUAAUAAUUAACUUUUUUAUUUAUAUAACAUUGAUAUAUGAAAAAUAGAUCCAGUUUUACUGAUUACUAGAAUAAGUUACCUUAGGGAUAACAGCGUAAUCUUCCUUUAGAGUUCAUAUUCACAGGGAGGCUUGCGACCUCGAUGUUGGAUUAAGAUUAUAAUUAGGUGUAGCCGCUUAAAAAAUAGGUCUGUUCGACCUUUAAAUUCUUACAUGAUCUGAG
rnacentral:rRNA from 1 species